GAUGAACGCUGACAGAAUGCUUAACACAUGCAAGUCAACUUGAAUUUGGGUUUUUAACUUAGAUUUGGGUGGCGGACGGGUGAGUAACGCGUAAAGAACUUGCCUCACAGCUAGGGACAACAUUUAGAAAUGAAUGCUAAUACCUAAUAUUAUGAUUUUAAGGCAUCUUAGAAUUAUGAAAGCUAUAUGCACUGUGGGAGAGCUUUGCGUCCCAUUAGCUAGUUGGAGAGGUAACAGCUCACCAAGGCGAUGAUGGGUAGCCGGCCUGAGAGGGUGAACGGCCACAAGGGGACUGAGACACGGCCCUUACUCCUACGGGAGGCAGCAGUGGGGAAUAUUGGACAAUGGACCGAGAGUCUGAUCCAGCAAUUCUGUGUGCACGAUGAAGUUUUUCGGAAUGUAAAGUGCUUUCAGUUGGGAAGAAAUAAAUGACGGUACCAACAGAAGAAGUGACGGCUAAAUACGUGCCAGCAGCCGCGGUAAUACGUAUGUCACGAGCGUUAUCCGGAUUUAUUGGGCGUAAAGCGCGUCUAGGUGGUUAUGUAAGUCUGAUGUGAAAAUGCAGGGCUCAACUCUGUAUUGCGUUGGAAACUGUGUAACUAGAGUACUGGAGAGGUAAGCGGAACUACAAGUGUAGAGGUGAAAUUCGUAGAUAUUUGUAGGAAUGCCGAUGGGGAAGCCAGCUUACUGGACAGAUACUGACGCUGAAGCGCGAAAGCGUGGGUAGCAAACAGG
rnacentral:rRNA from 1 species